rnacentral:rRNA from 1 species
AAAGAUUUUUCGGUUGGGGAUGGGCUCGCGGCUUAUCAGCUUGUUGGUGAGGUAAUGGAUCACCAAGGCGUCGACGGGUAGCCGGCCUGAGAGGGUGACCGGCCACACUGGGACUGAGACACGGCCCAGAGUCCUACGGGAGGCAGCAGUGGGGAAUAUUGCACAAUGGGCGGAAGCCUGAUGCAGCAACGCCGCGUGAGGGAUGACGGCCUUCGGGUUGUAAACCUCUUUUAGCAGGGAAGAAGCGAGAGUGACGGUACCUGCAGAAAAAGCACCGGCUAACUACGUGCCAGCAGCCGCGGUAAUACGUAGGGUGCAAGCGUUAUCCGGAAUUAUUGGGCGUAAAGAGCUCGUAGGCGGUCUGUCGCGUCUGCUGUGAAAUCCCGAGGCUCAACCUCGGGCUUGCAGUGGGUACGGGCAGACUAGAGUGCGGUAGGGGAGAUUGGAAUUCCUGGUGUAGCGGUGGAAUGCGCAGAUAUCAGGAGGAACACCGAUGGCGAAGGCAGAUCUCUGGGCCGUAACUGACGCUGAGGAGCGAAAGCGUGGGGAGCAAACAGGCUUAGAUACCCUGGUAGUCCACCCCGUAAACGUUGGGAACUAGUUGUGGGGUCCUUUCCACGGAUUCCGUGACGCAGCUAACGCAUUAA